ensembl:lncRNA
UUUUUUUUUUUUUUUUUCACUGCAGCCUGGAACACCUGGGCUCAAGCAGUCCUCCCACCUCAGCCUCCUGAAUAGCUGGGACUACAGGUGCACACCACCCACCCCAAGCUUUUUUUUUUUUUCCUGUAAAGACAGGGUCUCACUAUGUUGCUGGGGUUGGUCUUGAACUCCUGGCCUCCAGCGAUCCUUCCACUUUGGCCUUCCCAACUGCUGGGAUUACAGGCAUGAGCCACUUCGCCUGGCCUGUAUUUUGUUUCUUAAUCAUCUGCCCCCUCAACUAGCAUAUCCACUCCAUGAGGACAGGGAUUCUUGUCUGUUUUGUUCUCUGUUGUACCCCCAGCGUAAAGUAGGUACUCAUUAAACAGUUGUUCAACAAGUGUUUACCAAUGAACGUAUGAAUGAAUGAAGAACAUUCUGGGCUCGGUAGACGUGCCAAGGGCUAGAUAAUUUAUCCCAGUGCCCUCACCUCCAAAACCUUUUGAGACCAAACCUUCCUUCCUCUUGUUCUUCCCUUCAAAUCUUCCGCUCCACCCUCACCGGCCUCCCCUGCUGUUCCUCCGCUCACCAGGCUCACCGCCACUUCAGGGUCUUUGCACUUGCUUUUCUUGCUGCCUGCUCACCCAGAUCUUUGCAUGGCUAAGCUGCCUCUUGUAAUUCAGGUUUCCCCUCUAAAGUAGUUCAUCAGGCUCUCAGAGAACCCACAAAACCCCGUGUAUCUUUGUUGACUCGUUUCUGAUCAACAAGACUGUGAGACCCUGGACAGUGAGAAGACUGUGUGCAUUGCUCCCCUUCAUGGCUGUAUACACCCUUCAGCUAGAAUAGUGAAUAUGGGUUCAAUGCAGAAUGAAUGCCUAUGAGAAAAGAAGUUACGCCCCGGUGAAGUCCACGGUCUUCCCUAGGGAGUCCAGGACGAUGGCAUGAGAGCUGGGUGAGAUGCCGCAGGUCAGGGCAACAGUUGUUCAUGCCAUAGGAAGAGGAUGAGGAACAUUCUGGGAGGAAAGGCUUCACUGCCUCACUGCCGGACACUGUUCUGUGGCAGAAGUAAUGAAGACGGGGGCUGACCACGACGAGGGUGGGGGGAGAGGAGGUACAGGAGUACUUCAUGGGAGCCUGGAGCUAAGCAGGCAGAUAUUUCUGCCUGAAGCGGGAGAGGAUGUGAGUGUGAAAGAAUUCUAGAGGGAGCUGUCCCGCUGCGAGGGGGGUGGUUUUGAAAGGGGUAUUCUUAAGGGGAAUCACUGGAGGAUUUGCAGAAAGGAAAAAGGCAUUCUUGGUGCUGACCAGAAUAGAAAGUAUUUUCACACCCACGAAGGGGCGCUCUGCUGGGGAGGGAGGCGGUCAGGGCCACUGGGGGCCGUUGCUGUGUAUAGACAGAGAUAACGGGGGGCAGUUCUGCUGCAAAGCUCUAAGGCGACACUCUGGGGAGAAUUAUAUAGAGGAUAAGAAUAAGAGGGUUCACGGGCAGCUGCCCUACAUGGGGAGGGGCGAUGCUGAUGGCAUCUGGAGGCUGACCUGGAGGAAGCAAUGACGGGGGGCGCUAUGUGGAGGGGAUCCUACGAGGAGGUAUCAGUUGGGGGCCCUGGCAGGCGUUUAGGGCAUCGCCACGAAUGAAAGCGCUUUGGCAGUCAUCCUAGCUGGAGGCGUUCAUCGGGGAGCUAUCUGCAGGGGUCUUACGGGGAAGCAGUGAUUGGGAGUCCCCUGGCAAGGGCCCGGCGGGAGCUGAACUGACUUGCUAGGGUUUGGGGGACGUUCUGGGGACCAGAGCGGGCCAGGGCC